UAGGGAAUUUUCCACAAUGGACGAAAGUCUGAUGGAGCAACGCCGCGUGCAGGAUGAAUGUCUUCGGAUUGUAAACUGCUUUUCUCUGUGACGAAUAUGACGGUAGCAGAGGAAUAAGGACCUGCUAACUACGUGCCAGCAGCCGCGGUCAUACGUAGGGUCCAAGCGUUAUCCGGAAUUACUGGGCGUAAAGAGUUGCGUAGGUGGCAUUGUAAGUAAAUAGUGAAAGCGUCCGGCUUAACCGGAUAUCCAUUAUUCAAACUGCAAAGCUAGAGGACGAGAGAGGUUAUUGGAAUUCCCUGUGUAGGAGUGAAAUCCGUAGAUAUAGGGAGGAACACCGAUGGCGUAGGCAGAUAACUGGCUCGUUCCUGACACUAAGGCACGAAAGCGUGGGGAGCAAACGGGAUUAGAUACCCGGGUAGUCC
rnacentral:rRNA from 1 species